UACGUAGGUGGCAAGCGUUGUCCGGAAUUACUGGGUGUAAAGUGCGUGUAGGCGGCAGACCAAGUCGGCGGUGAAAGCGCCCGGCUCAACUGGGCGAGGUCCGUGGAAACUGGUCAGCUGGAGGACGGUAGAGGCGAGUGGAAUUCCCGGUGUAGUGGUGAAAUGCGUAGAGAUCGGGAGGAACACCUGUGGCGAAGGCGGCUCGCUGGGCCGGUCCUGACGCUGAGACGCGAAGGCGUGGGGAGCGAACGGG
rnacentral:rRNA from 1 species